AUCCCUCCCAGCCCCAAACACACGGAGGUGGCCCCAAACCUACCCCAUUCACCGAGACGAGCGAGUUCUGAGGAGAACCAGGAGCAGAGCAAAGUUGAGGGGGAAUAUCCUGAUUAGAGGGAUGUCCCACAAUAUGACAGGAAUACCCUUUUGUCCCUUACUUUUCACCCCCAGCCCCUGACACUGGGCUAUCAAUGUCAUACCUUGGAGGGUCACAGGCUCAUCCAAUUUAAGCCCAGCUUAGCUCUGCUGCCAUCAGCUUUACACCAGGGGAAGAUCUGGCAUCGUGCUCUGUCACCCCAUCCCUGCUGCUGGAUUCUUGGCAUGGAGAGGAGAGUUGGGGUGCUCCACAAACCCCACACCCAGUUCCUCUGGAAGCUGAGGUUCCACACGCACCCUGUGUCCAGCAGCUUUUUCCUCCCAUCUCCCAGACAAUGCCCCUCCUCAGGGCAUUUAGGAUUGGUGUGUGCAGAGGAAAAACAGCCCAGAAAAGAGAUGGAUCACUCGUGAAAAGCUGCUUAGUCCCUAAAUAAAAGAGGAGAGUGAUUAAA